UAUAUCGCUUUAUCUUUUUAUAAUCAUAACAAUAACUGAUUUAAAGAGGUAUGUUAUAGUAGAAAAGGUCAUUUUGGUGUUGCACAAAUAAUACAGAACAAAGCAAAAGUAUCUUGAUAAGGUUUUGUUUUGUUUUUCUCCAAAAAAAGGGUGCAAUAGAACCCAACUUCAACUCGUAAGUGGACCGAGACAGGUAGUUCACUUGAUUAUUAUUCUAAUGUAAGAGGUGAAAGAAUGUUUUGCUGAAGCCAACACAGGUAAAAGGUCGCAUGAUGAUUUGAAAGAAUAUAAUUACGACCCUACAGACAGUGGGAGUGUUGUGCCCUGAGUUCACAGGAAACUCAGAGGGCCCAAGAAUUGCAAAGUCCCCUGCAACUUGAAAAAGAGUUUUUAUUGUUUCAAGUUCAAACUCGGUUUACCCGCCUCGCACUUCACCACGUGAAUGCUGGCAAGUGACCCCAAGUCCAGAAAACAUUGGGUUUAUAUACAGUAUAGUUAGGAAUAAGUGAAUAUUCACAGAAAAGGGGAGUAGAGGGUGGAAUAGAACUGAAGCGGGAGGGGGAGGGUUAAUGGGUGUCUGCUCAAGGACUAAUUUUUAUGGCCAGUCCUAACUGUCUGUGACCUGACCUCUGUUUACCUUUUUCCAUGGUCUCCCUUGAGCUUGUUAUUUCUCUAAGGUCUCAAGGACAGGCACCUAGAGAGUUAUCAGGAGGAGUGUUGGUUUUUUGGAGACACAAAGGCAGGGAGAAUGUCUCUUGCUGUCUCCUCAGACUGUCCUCAUUAAAGGGAAGUUUUAUGGGUAAUGCCAUUCUAACACUAGGGGAAGGGGAGGGAGCCCGGGGCUGCUGCAGGAGGACCUAGCACAGAAACCAUCUGUCUGCAUAUAGUGCUUGCCUUGGAGGGGAGUGGGAAGUGGGGUAACACUGAGUCUCUUCCCUUCUGAUGUCUUGGGCAAUGAAUAAUACUCACAGUUGCUGGCUUCAUCAGAUCCAAGGUUUCCUGCUCGAUUAUUCCUUCUCCCUCUGAUGUGAGCAGUCCUCUCUCUUGAUAUAUAGCCUCGUGGAUGUGGGCUGUGACAAAGGCAUACCUGCUAUCCAUGUAGAUGUUGAUCUUUUUGCCUACCCCCAGGUCCAAGGCUUUGGUCAGAGCUAUCAGCUCUGUCUUUUAGGCUGACAUCCCCAGAGGAUGUGGUUCUGCCAAGACCACCUGCACCUUUCCACAAUGGCGGCCCCCACCUUGCACUGUCCCUCUACCAGGCUGCUGCCACCAGUGAACCAGGUCGCCUCAGCAUCGGGGAGCAGCUGAUCUGACAGGUCCUUUCACCAUCCCUGGUCCUCAGCUGGAAUCCGCUGACAAUCAUGAGCUGGCGGAUUGAGUUUGGGGGUCUGGUAGCAUAGUUGAGGGCCAUUGGUGAUGUGAAGGUUACCUGAUUUGAGUUUAGCAACAGAGUCUGAUAAUGAGUCAUGCGGGCAUUGGUCAGACUUUGAUCCAGGGGCUGAUGAACAAUGCUUUCCAAAGCAACUGGUCACUACCAGGAGCCCAGCUGCUGAGUGAGCACUUGCUUGGCUAUCCCCCUGUUCUCUGCCACAUAAAGGUGGAAAGGUCUGCUGGCAUCGGGCAGUCCUAGAGCAGGGGCCUCCAGUAAACCCUGCUUAAUCGCAUCAAAAGCCUGUUGCUCUUCUUUACCCCAAUGGCAGGGCUGUCUGUUUUUAGUCAGGGGGUAGAGGGGGACAGCCAAUUCAGCAAACCCUGGAACCCGGCAGAACCUGGCCAUGCCCAGGAAUUCCCGUACCUGUUUGGGGCUCUGCAGAGGAGGGGUGUGCAGGAUGGUGUCUUUUUGAGUGAGCAUUGGAGAGCCAGCACUGGAUGUCCUUCAGCAGGUAGCCCAGUAACUUACUUUUCUCUGGCAGAUUUGGGCCUUCUUAGCUGAGGCUCUGGAUCUCAAUCCUCCCAGCUCCUACAAGAGGCGUUUCAUCCCCCUCUAGAUAGUCCUCCUUAGUCUUGGGUCCCAGGUUUUUUCACAGGCAGGAAGGAGGGAGUAUUCCAAGCCAAUUGGCACUUCCACUGGGAUCCCUUGUUCCAGGAGCCUGAUAAUGUGGGGCCCUGAUUCCAUCCCAGGCUUCCCUCAACAUCGGAUAUUGGUGCCCAGACACCAAGGAGCUCUGAGAUCUACAUGGAUGGAGGACUCUCCCCAUCCCUGCCAUCUCAGCCUAGGCUUGGGGAAAGACAGAAAGGCCUUGAAUCACCAAUUCUAGGUCCUGGGGUGCCCUGUCCAAGGUCUCAAACAACUUGUAUUCAUCUUCUAGCCUGAGUGUCAGGACUCUCUGUAGACUCCUUCCCUGUUGCUUUUCUUUCUUUCUCUUUCUCUGCUCCUUCUCCUCCUCUGUCUCCCUGUUAUGGUAGACUUUCUCAGCAACCUGUACUAAAUCCCUCAGUGACUUACCCUGCCUUUCUAACCUCUGAUGCUUUUUCCUGAUAUCUCUACUAGCCUGGUCUAUAAAAGCCAUUCGCACAGUAGUUUUAUGCUCUUUGCUGCUGGGAUCAUAAAGUGUAUGUUGGUGGACUGCCUCCAUGAGCCGAUCUAGAAAGACUGCAGGCAACUUACCUGGUGUCUGCUUAAGCCCACGCACCUUGAUCAAAUGUGUGGGUCGUCAUGCAGCCCCUGAGACCUGCCAGUGGAGUCUAGUGGUGGACCUUCAGGUGCCCCUUACCUUCUGCCACAUUAAAGUCCCAGUCAGUUCUAAUCAGAGAAAGCCCGCUGUCCACAACAGCCUGGUCAAUCGAUGGUGCCCCCGUAUCUGAGGGGUAUUCAUUCUGGCUUCCUGCAUUAUAAAUAAAACAGUCUCAAAGAGAUUAACUAGCCCUUUGGAAAAAGGGAGGCUGAGGGUUUUGCCUUCCAGUUGUACAAGUCAGCCAAAGAGAAGGGCCAAUGUUGCUGAUUGCCCUUUUCCAGAGGUCCAUAUGCCCUCAGUGAGAGAGCCAUCGUGGUAUCAGGGGAGAGGGGUGGCUCUCAGGUCUCUUCCUACUCCUCCCUCCAAUGAAGGGGGGUGCGAUGGCCCUGGUUUCAUAUGGGUUGAGGAUCCCAGAACCAGUACUGGCACUGGUGGGGCCAUGGGGGCAAGGGUAGGGAGAUUUGAAGGAAGAGGAUCUUGGAGUCAACUGUUGGUCAACUGUUGAAGAGUCUUAGAGGAUCACAAGUUUCUCAGGUCCAGAUCUCUCCUCCCGCACUUCUUUCUUCCUGAUGGUCAGAACCUGUGAGGUAGGGUCUUGGGAAAGAAAGGCUUUUAUCUAUGAGGGAAGAGGGGAGUUCUCCACUAGAUUUUUCCAGGGUCUUGGUAUGGGUGCCAGAGAGAUCCCAGCCUAAAGACUCUCUCCUCUACUGCUUUGAUCACCUGCAAGCCAAAAGUCCCUACAAGUGGGUCAUGAUAAGAAGCAGAGAGUAACUAAUUUGUCUUUCAGUCUGUCCAAUGUCCAAAAAAUGUCUGUCAGUCUAAGCCCAAGAACAUAGAACAAGAUAUCAACAAACACAGAGAAAAACAAUCACCACACAGACAGCUUGACCCUGCCACGGAUGGGCGUCCUGGUCCAAUAACACAGAGAAAGACAAUCAACACACAUGGGCCCAGUUACAGACACCAGAUGCUCCUGCCCAUGUGGCAGGAGCCAGAUAAACCAGGUUAUAGCAAGACUUGGCUCCCGCCGAUAUUGUCUUGCAGUUUCCAGAAAGAGCAGAGCCUUCCUGGCUUCCUCCAGGGGGGUGCUGAAGUGUCCUUCAGUCCCCCCAUGGUCUCAACAUUAAGGCACGUCUGCCCGUGGCCUUUGACCACACCAAACACCGCAGGCUCUCUGAACCUCCUAACAUUUGCAAGCAAAAGUUCAAACAGACUUACAGACUCAGACUCUGAGGAACAGCGAGGCCAACUGGAACCGCUGUAAAAGCUCAAGACCGCCGAUUGAUUGACAGCUCCAGUGUGUUUCCCACAAGGAGUCAGCCCAUCACUGACAAUGAUACAAAAAUGCUGACACUCACCAACGAUACAGAAAUACUGACACUCACCCCCACCCGCUUGCCAGCAUAGACUCUCCGGACUGCCCAUUCCAGAAGCUGAGCUUGAGCAUUGGAUUGCUUUGCUCCAUCUUGCUAGUCUUUGCUGGCCACAUGCAUGUAUUGGUUUGCACUACGUUACAUUGCUGUACUUAGCUUGCGGUGUCUUCCUAAAUAGAAACUUGUCAAAGAUCUUCUCAUGAGAUUCCUGCCCUUGCUGAUUCGAGUGUGUGUGUGUUAUCUGCUGAGUGGACUGCCUAUUCGUGUUUGGUGUUUGCUAGUGGGCUGGACUGUAAGCAGUGACUAAUUCGCCUCGAUGAACUAUUUCUAAACAGGUCCACUUCCCCCAUAUCUUUAUAACCUUUCAUUUCCACUACCUCUGGUGGGUGGUAGGCUAGAGGGGCGGUUAAACCCUUAUCACAGUAGGUUGUGAAAUGUAAUGGAUUGGCCUGAUGCUGCCUGUGUCCUAAUACUAAUAUUGUUUCCUAUGUUCCAACUAUGGUUGCCCCAGAGAUGAAGGAUUCCUCACAUAGACCCAAGUGACACUAUGUGACCUUACCCCCAAGUUAUUUCUGAUUGGUGAAUAAAGAUGCCAACAGCCAAUGCUGAGCAGAAGAAACAUGGGCAGAUUUUAGGGUUCUUGGGCCUCGGGGGUUGGAGGAGAACCACGUGGGAGAGAAGAAGGUGAAGGAGGAGAAGGAAGCUGCCAUGGAUUAGGAGCUGAAUGAUCAAGGUGGAGUGGAAACCCCGGAUUGGGGGCUGGAGAGAUGGCUCAGCGGUUAAGAGCACUGACUGCU